rnacentral:lncRNA from 1 species
GUUCUGAUAUAAUGAAUGGUCGCGAUCGUUGUCAGCUGAUGUUGUAAUCGGGAAUUCUUGAAGUCAUACGUCCGUAUAACUAUUCAAUAUAAAUGUAAAUAUUAAAAGCUUUCAAUUGAUUCAAAACAGUAUUAACCGACUUCCUGAUGAAAGAAAGAACAUUUCUAUUCCCUAUGCAUAAUCUAUAUUCUAAUUACUUUCAAAAUCAUAAAAAUACAUUUGUCAUAAAACAUUU